AUUGAACGCUGGCGGCAUGCUUUACACAUGCAAGUCGAGCGGCAGCGCGGGGGCAACCCUGGCGGCGAGCGGCGAACGGGUGAGUAAUAGAUAGGAACGUGUCCGGGAGUGGGGGAUAACUAGCCGAAAGGUUAGCUAAUACCGCAUAUUCUCUACGGAGGAAAGCGGGGGAUUCGCAAGAACCUCGCGCUCGCGGAGUGGCCUAUCUCCGAUUAGCUAGUUGGUGAGGUAAAGGCUUACCAAGGCGACGAUCGGUAGCUGGUCUGAGAGGAUGAUCAGCCACACUGGGACUGAGACACGGCCCAGACUCCUACGGGAGGCAGCAGUGGGGAAUUUUGGACAAUGGGGGCAACCCUGAUCCAGCCAUGCCGCGUGCGGGAAGAAGGCCUGGUGUAACG
rnacentral:rRNA from 1 species